rnacentral:lncRNA from 1 species
UCAAAUAUGCCUCGCCACCAGGGACCAGGACCUCGCCGUGUUGGAAAUCGCCUUCAAUGUCGGUGGAGGUCUAAACACCCUCAAACCUAAAUCAUUUGACUUGUUUUUUCUCCUCUCUCUCAUCCUCAAACUAGUUUUCUUUAAUUCCUUAUUGUUAUUCCAAACCGAACAGAAAAUUGUAUGAACCCUAAUGUCCUAAGUUCAAAUUAAACGCUAAUAAAGCCUAAUCUAGAUUCAAAACCUUAUGGUUAUGGUUCCUUAGCAUCAAUACUAUGAGUUGGUAACAAAGUUCAAAGGGAGUAAAGAGGAGUUGAAGGAGAUCCUUUCCUUCAGAGAGGUUGCUUGCUUUGGAAAAUAUUGAGAAGCUCGAAGAUGAGAAUGCAGAGAAAUCCAGAGGUAAGCUUCGAUCUCCUUUCUCCCGCUUGUUACUUCUUCUUCUUCUUCUUCUACUACCAUAAUAGUCUAUAGGAGUGUAUUGUGUUGCUCUGUGUGGUUGUUGUUGACUUUGUAUGAGAGUGAGAGAGUAGAGAGGAAAAUGAUGAGAGAUUGAGAGUGAUUGUAGAGUGAAAAUAGAGAGAUUGAGAGGUGAAACUUUUAUGGAAUGUGAUUCUCAGAUUCUGAUUGUUGAUGUUGAUGAAUGAAGGGGGGCAAGGGGAUUUAUAGGGAUUGAAUCCCUAACUGCUUGGGGCAAUGCCUGGGCAGGGGUGGUCAUUGGAGUUAGGGAAGGGUUAGGUUCUAAGUGAAAUUAAGAUGAAAGUUGGUUAGCAGUCAUUGACACUGUUAAAUUUGUUAGUUGUAGUUAGUGUUAAAUCAAUUAGUGAAUCAGUUAACUUUCUGUUAAUUGUUAGUAUCAGUUAUGUGUUAGUUAGCUUGAUUAUGUAGGUGAGUGUAAGUUCAAGAAGGGGAAAGUUAGUUAGUGAUUAAAAAACCGUUAGUUUGUGUUAGUCUGAUUUGGUGAAUCAGUUAGAAGUAUCGAUGUUAUAAUGAAUUAAAGAAUGUUAGUUAAGAGUGGAGUUAGGAAUUAAUAGAAGUUAGAAUGUUUUAUAGUGAGAAUGGAAAGAAAUUGAAUGGUUAUUAGUGCUUGUGUGUUAAAAUUUUAAUGUUAGUGACUAAGUUAGGCUAGUUGACAGUUAAAGAUUGAAUGAGUUUAGUGUAGUUAGAUGAAAUGAAGCUGACAGUUAGUGACUGUUAGAUUUAGGCAAUUAAAGUUAGUGUAGUUAGAUGAAAUGAAGCUGACAAUUAGUGACUGUUAGAUUGAGGCAUUUAAAGCUAGUGUAGUUAGAUGAAAUGGAUGUGGAAAACAACUAGGUUGAAAUGGAAUCAGUGAUGUCAAGUUAGUGAAGAAUUAGACUUAUGUUAGAAAUAGGGACUGUUAUAGGUGGAUUAGAUUUGAUGUUAGUAUGUAGGUUAUGCUAAGAUUUGUUAGGGUGGAUCAGAAGUUAUGUUUGUAGGCUAUAUGUGUUAACUAUGUUGAAUUUUUAGCUUGAAUGCCAAUUACUGGUUGAAUCAUGUUGAUACUUAUGUGCAGACCUAAUGUUCUGUUAGUUGUAGCUAGAGUAAUUAUUAUUCCAAAACUCAAUGAAUGCUAAGACUUGAACUGGCUAUGAGUUGAAGUAGAGCUAUGAAAACUAGUUAGUUAGCUCAUGAAUAAUUAGUAAGCUAUUAAGAGAAACUGAACUAUAAUUAACUGUUGGAUGAUCGUUAGAAACUAACAUGGAGUUGUUUGUAAUUGAUGUUGGUUUGGAAUGGUGGUAUGUUGGUUUUGUUAAACCUCGGCUACUAGAAGUCAUCAUUGUGAAGUAGGAUAGUCAGUAAAAUAUUGAAUGUUAGCUAGUGUUAGAAUGAACUUAUAAUGAGGUUAAUUGAAUCAGUUAGUUAAUUAUGUUUGAAUUGUUUUAUCAGGUUACUGUAGAAUGGAGGAAUGGAAUUGUUUCUAACUAUUUGAAUGAAUUUCCUAUGUUGUGAUAAAUUUUGGUUACUAGCUUUGGAAUGGGAAAUAUUAUGUUAUGUGUUUGCAUGGUUAUGUGAAGUGUGGAUUUGGAUUGGAUGUUAGUGAAUUGGAAUUUGGAAUUGUUUGAAACUUGUGAAGUUAAGCAUGAUGGUAAAUGGAACUAAAUGUUAGUUGAUCUAGAAUGCUAAUUGAUCAUGUUAAUGCUUAUGUGCAUGUGUGGAUAUGGUUUGGUGUAUGGCUUAUGAAUUCAUGACCUUGAAUGGUUGGUUCUUUCUUGUAUGUGUGCAUAAUGCUAAUUCAGUUUCACUUGUUGCAAGGUGGAUUUCUAGGCUUGGGCUAAAGCAAGGAUCGUGAAGAAUUUGGCAAAGGUCAUCAAAUGGCAAAGCAUGGAACAAGGCAUGGCAUGGAUUGGUCAUGAAGACAUGAAUAUAUGAAACAUCGGAAAUCAUGAAGCACUUGAACAAACAUGGGGUGGCUUAUGAAUGAAGAAGAAGUAGGAUAGGAAUUAGGGUUAGGAUUUAGUUAGUUGGCUUUGGUCAAUUGUUUGACCAAAAUUAAAUAGUUGACCAAAGUCAACUUUGGGUCAAAAUGUGUAUUUUUGUAUAAAAUUGGGAUUCUUGACUCCCUUAUGAUGAAAUUUUGGUGAUUUGUAAUGAAAUUGGCUCUUAAGUGGUAUAUGUGUGGCUUGGUUCUUAAGAGAAAAUGAAUUUCCCUCCAAAAUUGAAUUUGAAAAUGAAUAUUUGAAUUUGUAUUGACUUCUUGAAUGAAUCUUGACCCUUU